CAUUUAACUUUUGAAAUCCCGCUCAUCCCCACUUCCCCAUACAUCUGUCUUGUCUUUUCAUUUCACAGUCUCUUCUUCCUUUUGAUCUCUCUCCCUCUCAAAACCAUCUGCAUCUCUCAUUUUUCUAUAAACAUGAACCCUAAAAGCACCAAAACAGAAACAAAGAUUAACCAAAACACUGAUAAAAUAGCAUGGACGGAAGAUGCGAUUAGGGUUUCACAUAUCUCAUUCUUAUCCGCCUCCGCCUCUCUCUCUCUCUCUCUCUCUCUCUCUCUUUCCCCUCACCCUCUCUCUAGCGACGAUUCAAAAACUGCAAGCGAUUGAUGAAGAUUUCACCAGAUCCAUUCUGAUUCUGCUAUCAUCGGCGGCUAUAGAUGGUGGUUGUCUGGUUAGGUUAGCCAUUUCGACUACUCGACAUCCCUAAGAACGAUGGAGAAGAGGUGCAGCUGAGACAACAAUGUUAUAGUUUAUGGGAAUACGAACAAGUUAUGUUAACUUUGGUAUUUGGUGGUUGUCAUUCAUUCAUUGUGCAUGCUUACUAUGAAGGUAUGUAAUAUUAGAAGAAGGAGUAUAAUAAGACUAAACAUCCACAACUUUUGUAUGAAGCUAAGUUGUACAGUCUUCUUCAGGUGGUAUACCUUCCAUAAAAUGGUCCGGUGUAGAUGCAGAGGAUAAUGUUUUAAUUAUUGAUUUGCUAGGACCGAGUCUUGAGGAUCUGUUUGUGUAUUGUGGGAGGAACUUUCAAUUGAAAACAGUCUUGAUGUUGGCUGAUUAAAUGGUAAGUUGUGUAUUAAAUGGCCAGGCAUCAAGAGGAAAAGAAGAAAGAGGAAGAAGCAAAAGCGAUAGCAUUGGAAGCCGAAAAAGCUGCAAAAGAAGCACCUGAAAUGGCGGCUGCGGAAAGUCAAAGAAACGCUGCUGAGGCUUUGACUGCUUCACAAGGAGCGGUUUCUACGGAAUCCGGUUCUGGUAGACUCAAUAAAGCACCCGAAGGAAAUGUCCUCAAGGGUGCUGAGAGUGCUUUAAAAAUGGAAGAAAGUAGGUUGCAAAUAUAUAAAGAAGUGGUUGGAAAAGGUUUUGCUUCGGAAAUGGAUUCUAAUCGAGUAAGUCAUGAGUGACAUGCUUUAAAAUUCCAUCAUAUGCACCAAAAGAUUUGGUUUGAAUUCUAAGGUCAUUUAAUGGUUAACAAUAUGAUUACUAAUGGGUCAAAUGGGUUAACUUUAAAAUCUUAGUCAAAAUUGAAACGAGUCAGGUUGAUAAAAGUGACCCGAAGUACCUUUACAUGUCUUUGUAGCUUUGGCAACACGUUUUGGGUUUUCAUAUGCCCAUAAGUUUGUUCACAUUGCCACCACACUAAUAUUUUUAUGGUUUUGAGGUUGUAUUUUUGGUGGGUUUGUGGCUUAGGGACUGAUGUAGCAAAAUAAUAUUCGUAUUUUUUAUGGUUUUGAGGUUGUUGAAGACUGAUGAGGUGAUGGUAGCGGCCGCCGGCGGCGAACACAAACUUUGGGUGCCACAGACCAUAGGGGUUGCUAAUGGAGAGAGGUCCGAUUAGGUACAUACUACGGAGGAUCUGUUGAGAAGGUUUGAGAGUACCUCAUCUACAUUUUCAGAUUAUUCUAAUGGUUAGAUAUUAGGGGUUCUGUGGUUCAAAUACUUCAUCUACAUUCUGUUUUUUUUAAUUCUACUCUCCACGAACCCUAAUCUGGUCAAGCUUGUAAAUCCCGCAGUUAGGUGAGCUCCAGCGAUCAUGAAACGGUCAAUUCUGGCUCGGCUCGGCUCAGAUUUGAAACCGAGCUGAAAAUCUAAGCUCGGGUUUGGCUUGGUUUUAAACCGAGAUGGCUCGACUUGAUUUGGCUCGAUUGUAAAAAUAAAAGUUAAUACGUAGCUCUCAAAAUUCAGUAUUCUAAAAUCGUCAAUUAUGGCUUGAUUUGGCUUGAUUUGUUUCUUGAUAGUCAAUUAUGUAGGUUUAUUGAUUCUUGCUCACAUGUUAUAUGUGAAUUUUGCGUAAUCAUUUGAUAUGUUAGAAAUCGCGUAGAAGAAGGAUAUAAUAAUUCUCAAUUUGCAUCAAAGUGACAGUAAAUGUAUGAUGUAUCUGUAAUAUAUGUGCAAGGCUGUUGAUUUUCUGUUUAUGAACUCUGAAGUGUUGAAUUUUGUAUGGAUGCUUGGAUAUAUGCA